rnacentral:rRNA from 1 species
GACGAACGCUGGCGGCGUGCUUAACACAUGCAAGUCGAACGGAAAGGCCCUGCUCUUGUUGGGUGCUCGAGUGGCGAACGGGUGAGAAACACGUGAGUAACCUGCCCUUGACUUUGUGAUAACAUCAGGAAACUGGGGCUAAUACCGGAUAGGAGCUCCUGCUGCAUGGUGGGGAAUGGAAAGUUUCGGCGGUUGGGGAUGGACUGGCGGCUUAUGAGCUUGUUUGUGUGGUAGUUGCUUACGAAGGCUUUGAGGGGUAGCCGGCCUGAGAGGCUGAACGGCCACAUGGGGACUGCGAGACGGACCAGACUCCUACGGGAGGCAGCAGUGGGGAAUAUUGCACAAUGGGCGGAAGUCUGAGGCAGCAACGUUGCGUGCGGGAUGACGGCCUACGGGUUGUAAACCGCUUUCGCCUGUGACGAAGCGUGAGUGACGGCAAUGGGUAAAGAAGCCCCGGCUAACUACGUG